AACGAACGCUGGCGGCAUGCCUAACACAUGCAAGUCGAACGAUCCCUUCGGGGAUAGUGGCGCACGGGUGCGUAACGCGUGGGAACCUGCCCUUAGGUUAGGAAUAACUCAGAGAAAUUUGAGCUAAUACCGGAUAAUGUCUUCGGACCAAAGAUUUAUCGCCUUUGGAUGGGCCCGCGUUGGAUUAGCUAGUUGGUGGGGUAAAGGCCUACCAAGGCGACGAUCCAUAGCUGGUCUGAGAGGAUGAUCAGCCACACUGGGACUGAGACACGGCCCAGACUCCUACGGGAGGCAGCAGUGGGGAAUAUUGGACAAUGGGCGAAAGCCUGAUCCAGCAAUGCCGCGUGAGUGAUGAAGGCCUUAGGGUUGUAAAGCUCUUUUACCCGGGAUGAUAAUGACAGUACCGGGAGAAUAAGCCCCGGCUAACUCCGUG
rnacentral:rRNA from 1 species